rnacentral:rRNA from 1 species
UACGUAGGGGGCAAGCGUUGUCCGGAAUCAUUGGGCGUAAAGAGCGCGUAGGCGGCGGGGUAAGUCGGGUGUGAAAUCUCAGGGCUCAACCCUGAAACUGCACUCGAUACUGCUCUGCUUGAGGACUGGAGAGGAGACUGGAAUUCACGGUGUAGCAGUGAAAUGCGUAGAUAUCGUGAGGAAGACCAGUGGCGAAGGCGGGUCUCUGGACAGUUCCUGACGCUGAGGCGCGAAGGCCAGGGGAGCAAACGGG